rnacentral:tRNA from 1 species
AAGGUUAUAAAAUAGAGCUGCUAACUCUACAUUAAUGAAAACAUUUAACCUUU